AAAACUUGAAUACAGAGUGAUUCAGCGCUAUACAAGAAAACCUUUUAAACAUGAAUCACUAUACACACCAGAAUAAUUUUUUCCCGCUUUAUUGGUCUUUCCAAUAUAUACAUGCCACUGGAAUGAUAAAAGUGACAACAAUCAACAGGGGCAACUAAUAAUAAUUAAAAGAAAAAUGUAGCAGAUGCCUUUAAUAGCUGGCAGUUGAUUCUACCUGUAGCCUUUCACACCGGCACAUCUGACAAGUCAGUAUUGGAUAGCAAAACUGCAUGGAAGUUCAGGCACAUCCAGCAAUGGUGAAGCAUCAUUUAGUCUUCAUUACUUACCCAAAUUGAGCAACAUUCUUUGGUACAUUGUCCUUAAAGCGUUUUGCUUGCACCAAUUGCUUGUGUGUCAAUCUCAUAAGAAGAGAGCAACCUUCGAUGAUCCUCAAAAUCAGGACUGGUCAGAUUGAUAGAGAGGUUUCUCAUCAACAACAGCACCGUUUCAACAUCUAUGGGGUCCAUUUUUUUAAGUUUCUGCAGAUGACCACUAGCAUUUGGGUCAAAUACACUGCCAAUAAAUUUGUAUACUUGAGCGAAGUCAGGCAGAACUCUCAAUGGAUGCCCAUGAUUCCCUAGCUCAGCUGAUUCCCCAAGUGGUUUUGUUCUAGGAGCACUCUCAGUGCUACUGCAACAAUUAUAUGCCACUUUUGUUUGAUUUGAUAAUCUGACAGCUGGCAAAUUAUUUUUCCGGGAAGCUGUAGCAGCACUAGCAAUUGGGUUCCUAGGCAUUGAUGCGGUAUCACGCCUUCGAACAAAUCCAGGUUCAAGGAGGGCAGACGAUGAUUGGAAGGAACCCGGAGGUUGUGAGAGCACUGGGGAAUUUUUAGUGGCUUUUUGAGGAUAUGGAUGAGCAGCUUUCCUUUUAGGCCUAGGAGGAGGCAGGUGUUCAUUGGUUCCACUCUUCUGAACCUUUAGAAAAUACUUCUGUGCAUGACUACGUAUCUGAAUAACUGUUUUUGACCCGAUAAAUGCUUCAAUCUUUUUCCAGUCGCGAUCAAAGAGUUGAAGAGCUUCAAGGAACUUGUCGUGUUCAGGUUCAGUCCAGCUCUCUCUGGACUUGGUGAUGGUGUAGGGUUUUCGGAUCUUCUUAGUCGGAUCCUCCGCUGAGGACGUGGUGGUAGAUGCUGUGACGAAGGGUCCCAGUCCUGGUAGGGCCAUUCCGUUCGGAUCCAAGUAGAAUCCGUCAGGCGGGUUAGGAUUUUUGGAGACCAUGCGAGAUAAUGAGAAUUGAGGCUAUAGCUUUGAA
rnacentral:misc_RNA from 1 species